rnacentral:miRNA from 3 species
AAUUGCACUAGAGUGAUUUGUU